GCUUAACGCGAAGAACCUUACCCACCUUUGACAUGUACGGAAUUUGCCAGAGAUGGCUUAGUGCUCGAAAGAGAACCGUAACACAGGUGCUGCAUGGCUGUCGUCAGCUCGUGUCGUGAGAUGUUGGGUUAAGUCCCGCAACGAGCGCAACCCUUGCCAUUAGUUGCUACGAAAGGGCACUCUAAUGGGACUGCCGGUGACAAACCGGAGGAAGGUGGGGAUGACGUCAAGUCCUCAUGGCCCUUAUAGGUGGGGCUACACACGUCAUACAAUGGCUGGUACAGAGGGUUGCCAACCCGCGAGGGGGAGCCAAUCCCACAAAGCCAGUCGUAGUCCGGAUCGCAGUCUGCAACUCGACUGCGUGAAGUCGGAAUCGCUAGUAAUCGCGGAUCAGAAUGUCGCGGUGAAUACGUUCCCGGGUCUUGUACACACCG
rnacentral:rRNA from 1 species